GAAGCUGUAUCUUCAAAAUGUGUCAAUUUGGCUAAAGAGAAUCAAGUUUUUCAACAGGAGUUAUUAUCUAUGAAAAAAGUACAACAGGAAUGUGAAAAACUUGAGGAGGAUAAAAAGAUGUUGGAAGAAGAAAUAUUAAAUCUUAAGACACAUAUGGAAAACAGUAUGGUAGAACUUAGUAAACUACAAGAAUAUAAAUCAGAGCUAGAUGAAAGGGCAAUGCAGGCAGUAGAAAAAUUAGAAGAAAUCCAUUUACAGGAACAAGCACAAUAUAAAAAACAAUUAGAGCAGUUAAACAAGGAUAUAAUACAGCUUCACUAAAUAAGAAGGAACUCACACUUAAAGAUGUGGAAUGUAAAUUCUACAAAAUGAAAACUGCUUAUGAAGAGGUUACAACUGAGUUAGAAGAAUAUAAGGAAGCCUUUGCAGCAGCAUUGAAAGCUAACAGUUCCAUGUCUAAAAAAUUAACUAGAUCGAAUAAGAAAAUAGCAAUGAUCAGUAUCAGCUCUUUAUGGAGAAAGAGCAGGUGAAAUAUUUUCUCAGCACUCUUCCUACAAGGCGAGGUCGAGAGUCACCUUGUGUUGAAAAUCUUACUAGUAUAGGACUCAACAGAAAAUAUAUUCUCCAAAUGCCCGUAAGAAUUCCUACUUCAAACCUCAGACUUCAAAUAACUGCCAGAACUACUUGACUGAGCUGUUGCUGUAUUGGACACUUGCUCCCAUCUACUUUCUUCUCUAGAAUCCACGGGUAAGCCACAUCUAAUGAAGAGAAUAUUUAACCAUAAAGUCUUAAGGAAAAAUUCUAUGAUGAUUUAAAAGAUUAUAAAACUUUAUUACUGGGCUAUUUA
rnacentral:lncRNA from 1 species